rnacentral:rRNA from 1 species
AAUAGCCGCAAAUUUUGUGCUAAGGUAGCAUAAUCAUUUGCCUAAUAAUUAUAGGAUAGUAUGAAAGGGAUUACACGUGAUCUUCUUUAUUAAGAAAAUUUUUCUAAUUUAAAUGGUAAGCAAAAUUUCUUACAUGACAAGGGGGACGAUAAGACCCUGUCAAACUUCACCACAAGGUUGAGCUGGGGCGGCGAGAAAUAAAACCUUUACUCAAAAUUAUCACAGCGAAACCUAAAUAUUAGAUAAAACAAGUUACUGCAGGGAUAACAGCACUAUCACCCUUCAAAGAUCUUAUAAAAGGGGUGGCUUGUGACCUCGAUGUUGAAUUAAAAAUCUCUUUGAGGCAACCCUCAAAGAAGAAAGUCUGUUCGACUUUUAAAUAAUU